CGAUGACUUACCUUUAGAAUCAUAGAUCUCAAAGAGUGCUUUCUUUUGAUGUUUGUUUUUUGUGCUUCCACACUUCAGUGUGCAAUCACUGCGUGAAUGUCUGGAGGAUUUGGACAAGAUUAUUUUCUUUUCAUGCUUCUUGGGUGUGUCCUCUUGAUUUAACCUUUUUAUGUGGCUUUGAUUGGAGAGAAAUGCGAGAAAUUUUAAGCAAAGGUCUCAUUUGUUUGAUGGUUAUUUUGGAGAGGACCAGUUUUCUGUUUCUCUUUGGGCUUAAGUCUGGUUUCUUUCUGGAGAAUUCUUUUAUCCAUGCCACACAAGGAUUU
rnacentral:lncRNA from 1 species